rnacentral:rRNA from 1 species
UGGGGAAUUUUGGACAAUGGGCGAAAGCCUGAUCCAGCAAUGCCGCGUGUGUGAAGAAGGCCUUCGGGUUGUAAAGCACUUUUGUCCGGAAAGAAAUCCUUGGCUCUAAUACAGUCGGGGGAUGACGGUACCGGAAGAAUAAGCACCGGCUAACUACGUGCCAGCAGCCGCGGUAAUACGUAGGGUGCAAGCGUUAAUCGGAAUUACUGGGCGUAAAGCGUGCGCAGGCGGUUUGCUAAGACCGAUGUGAAAUCCCCGGGCUCAACCUGGGAACUGCAUUGGUGACUGGCAGGCUAGAGUAUGGCAGAGGGGGGUAGAAUUCCACGUGUAGCAGUGAAAUGCGUAGAGAUGUGGAGGAAUACCGAUGGCGAAGGCAGCCCCCCGGGCCAAUACUGACGCUCAUGCACGAAAGCGUGGGGAGCAAACAGGAUUAGAUACCCCUGGUAGUCCACGCCCUAAACGAUGUCAACUAGUUGUUGGGGAUUCAUUUCCUUAGUAACGUAGCUAACGCGUGAAGUUGACCGCCUGGGGAGUACGGUCGCAAGAUUAAAACUUAAAUGAAUUGACGGGGUCAUAGCUGUUUCCU